rnacentral:RNase_P_RNA from 1 species
UGAGUUGGUCAGGCAAUCGCUGGUUUAUUGAAGCCCUCAAAUUCGCACAGCGUAAACUAGGGGACAAGUAAACGAGAGGAAAGUCCGAGCUACACAGGGCAGAGUGCCAGAUAACGUCUGGGGGGCGUGAGCCUACGACCAGUGCAACAGAGAGCAGACCGCCAGUGUCAAACUGGUAAGGGUGAAAGGGUGUGGUAAGAGCACACCGCGUGGCUGGCAACAGUUCACGGCAGGGUAAACUCCACUCGUAGCAAGACCAAAUAGGAAUCCAAUGGGUGGCCCGCUCAGGAUUCGGGUAGGUUGCUUGAACGUGCGUGCGAACGUACGUCUAGAUGAAUGAUUGUCCGCGACAGAACUCGGCUUAUCGACCAACUCAACUU